AGGAAUCUGCCUAUUAGUGGGGGACAACAUCUCGAAAGGGAUGCUAAUACCGCAUACGUCCUACGGGAGAAAGCAGGGGACCUUCGGGCCUCGCGCUAAUAGAUGAGCCUAAGUCGGAUUAGCUAGUUGGUGGGGUAAAGGCCUACCAAGGCGACGAUCUGUAGCGGGUCUGAGAGGAUGAUCCGCCACACUGGGACUGAGACACGGCCCAGACUCCUACGGGAGGCAGCAGUGGGGAAUAUUGGACAAUGGGGGGAACCCUGAUCCAGCCAUGCCGCGUGUGUGAAGAAGGCCUUUUGGUUGUAAAGCACUUUAAGCGAGGAGGAGGCUACCGAGAUUAAUACUCUUGGAUAGUGGACGUUACUCGCAGAAUAAGCACCGGCUAACUCUGUGCCAGCAGCCGCGGUAAUACAGAGGGUGCAAGCGUUAAUCGGAUUUACUGGGCGUAAAGCGCGCGUAGGUGGCCAAUUAAGUCAAAUGUGAAAUCCCCGAGCUUAACUUGGGAAUUGCAUUCGAUACUGGUUGGCUAGAGUAUGGGAGAGGAUGGUAGAAUUCCAGGU
rnacentral:rRNA from 1 species